GGCUUCCCCUUCCACUGGUGCUCUUACUAGGAUAUUCAUUGCUACCUAUGAGGUUGGAGCCCAGGGUCAGUCCAUGUAUAGUCUUUAGGUAGUGGCUUAGUCCCUGGGAGCUCUGGUUGCUUGGCAUUGUUGUACAUAUGGGGUCUCGAGCCCCUUCAAGCUCUUCCAGUUCUUUCUCUGAUUCCUUCAACGGGGGACCUAUUCUCAGUUCAGUGGUUUGCUGCUGGCAUUCGCCUCUGUAUUUGCUGUAUUCUGGCUGUGUCUCUUAGGAGCGAUCUACAUCCGGCUCCUGUCGGUCUGCACUUCUUUGCUUCAUCCAUCUUGUCUAAUUGGGUGGCUGUAUAUGUAUGGGCCACAUGUGGGGCAGGCUCUGAAUGGGUGUUCCUUCAGUCUCUGUUUUAAUCUUUGCCUCUCCCUUCCCUGCCAAGGGUAUUCUUUUUCCUCAUUUAAAGAAGGAGUGAAGCAUUCACAUUUUGAUCAUCCGUCUUGAGUUUCGUUUGUUCUAGGGAUCUAGGGUAAUUCAAGCAUUUGGGCUAAUAUAGGCCAAGAUUUCUAAGGGGACCAACCCUAUUCAAACCAAGUGGUAACGCACUUACUUACCUAGCAUGUGAACGGUUGUGAGUUAUGUCUUCUACAUGGCAAAUACCCUCAGUGCACAAUUAAGACUUCUCCCCCACCAGUUAUCUAUUCCGACAGGUCAACGGUGACAAAGUUAAGAAACCAUACACUAAGUAAGCAUACUUUUUAAAUUGGCUAGUAAGAGACUAGGGAUGGCCUUCCAGUUUCCAUCUGUGCCCAGAGCUGACCCUGUACCACAACCGUCUGUAACCAGACCCUGAAAGGAGAAAGCUGUAUUCCCCAGAGUGCUAACACACCUGAGAGCACGGGUGAGACCACCACUUCUGCUCAGAGGGACCCACCCUGAGCCCUCAGGACACAGGAACCAAGGAGCAGUCUGGGACAGGAUCCUCCCAGUUUCCUUCUGCACUCAGAGCUGACCCUGAACCGCAGCUCUUGGUUCCCAAGUCCCACUAGGAGAGAGCUGGUCUCCCAGGAGUGCUGACACACAGGCUUACAGGAGGGUCAAGCCACUGUCGCAAACAGCAAGACCAGCUAACAGCAGAGACAACCUGAUGGCGAGAGGCAAGUACAAGAACCUAAGCAACAGAAACCAAGGCCACCUGGCAACUUCAGAAACCAGUUCACCUACCACAGCAAGUUCUAGAUACCCCAACACACCGGAAAAGCAAGAUUCUGGUUUAAAAAUCACAUCUCAUGAUAAUAUUAAAGGACUUUAAGAAGGGCAUAGAGAACACCCUUAAAGAAAUAUAGGUAGAAGCCCUUAAACAGGAAACACAAAAAUCCCUUUAAAAGUUACAGGAAAAUACAACCAAGCAGGUGAAGGAAUUGAACAAAACCAUCCAGGAUCUAAAAAUGGAAAUAGAAAAAGAAAUCACAAAGGGGGACAACCCUGGAGAUAGAAAACUUAGGAAAGAGAUCAGGAGUCAUAGACAUAAGCAUUGCCAACAGAAUACAAGAGAUAGAAGAGAGAGUCUCAGGGGUAGACGAUACCAUAGAAAACAUUAAAACAACCAUUAAAGAUAACGAAAAACACAAAAAGCUCCUAGCCUAAAAUAUUCAGGAAAUCCAGGACACAAUGAGAAGAUCAAACCUAAGGAUAAUAGGUAUAGAAGAGAACAAAGGUUCCCAGUAAAUAUCUUCAAAAAGUUAUAGAAGAAAACUUCCCUAACCUAAAGAAAGAGAUGCCCAUAAACAUACAAGAAGCCUACAGAACUUCAAGUAGAUUGGACCAGAAAAGAAACUCCUCCCAUCACAUAACAGUCAAAACAUCAAAUGCACAAAACAAGGAAAGAAUAUUAAAAGCAGUAAGGGGAAAAUGUCAAGUAACAUAUAAAGGCAGACCUAUCAGGAUUACACCAGAUUUCUCACCAGAGACAAUGAAAGCCAGAAGACCCUGGACUGAUGUCAUACAGACCCUAAGAGAACACAAAUGCCAACCCAGGCUAAUAUAUCCAGCAAAACUCUCAAUUAACAUAGAUGGAGAAACCAAGACAUUCCAUGACAAAACCAAAUUUACACAAUAUCUUUCCACAAAUCCAGCUCUAGGAAGGAUAAUAGAUGGAAAACUCCAACACAAGGAGGGAAACUACACCCUGGAAAAGCUAGAAAUUUGUCUUUCUUUUAAGCCUCAGUUUAUGCUCUUACUGCAACACACAUGAGCAAUCUCUACAUUCACCACGGCCCUUUUCAGUUCCUACCUACAGGUCUCCUCAGGCUCUGGCUAGGCCCUUAAAUGGGGAUCUUACAUUGCUAGUCAUACUGUAUUUAAAUUUAAUUAUGAUAUAAAAUUUAAUAAAAUACCUUAGUUUUCCAUGAAUUGGUACUAUAACAUGAGAAAUUAGAAACCUUGGAUAAAUAUGGGGCAAAGCUGUUUUAGACAAAAUAAUGCUAAUAGAAUAGAUUUAAAGAUAAAGAGAAACCUGAUAUUUCCGUUAUUCUGUGACUGGAAUUAAUUCAUCAAUAAUGAUACGCCUCAAAACAGUAAAUUAUCAGAACUAACUGAUUUAUAAGAGAGAGUGUUUGUGCCACUACAACAUGCUAGUAAGGCUUAUAUUUAAUGUUUUUCAUGUAUGUCAACAGAUGUGUAGACAAUGAUGACUGAAGUCACAACUGUUACAGCAACACAAACCCUAGUAACAUUUUCUGGUUGUCAGUAGUGAGACCACAGCUUCAUAUGCUGAGCUCCCGAGUUGACCGGAGACCUCUUGAACAUAGGAGAAAUGAUGCUUGGAGAGUUUUAAAUUUAUUCUUGUAAAUAAAUUGUAAAGAUCACUGAGUUGAACAUGGCCACCAGCAUGUCAAGAAAAGCAGAGCCCCAUGUUCAGGGAGGGGUGCUGCCUCAAAAGAGAAGGUGGAGAGUGACUGAUACCCUCUCUGGCCUCCAUGUGUGUGCCUGCACAUAAAAAUGUGCAAACACGUACCCAGCACACACAUACAUUUCCGAAAAAGAAAAGAAAGCUUGUCAUGGUGCCAUAGAUCUACAAUCCCAGGAUUCAAGAGGUAGAGGCAGGAGAACCAGAAAUUCAGUGUCAGAAAACAAUAAAUAAGUGACACAUAGCUCACUGGUUUUCCUUCCAUUAGAUCCAGGUUCAAUUCCCAGUACCCAUAAUGGUGGCUCAUGACCUUAUAACCCCAUUUGCAGGGAACCCAACACCCUCUUCUUGCCUCUGUGGGUAUCAGGCAUACACAUGGUGCACAGAUAUGCAGACAAAACAAUCGUAUGCAUAAAAAAAUUUAAAAUAAAUGUGUGGAGUGUGGUUGUACACACCUUUAAUUCCGGCACUUGGGAGGCAGAGGCAGGCAGAUCUCUGAGUUUGAGGCCAGCCUGGUCUACAGAGUGAGUUCCAGGACAGCCUGGGCUACACAGAGAAACCCUGUCUUAAAAAUAACAACAAAAACUGAAACACACACAACACACACACACACACACACACACACACACACACACACACACACAGUCUUCAGAUUUUUAUCAGUUAGCCUAAUUAAUGCCUUACACCUAACAUGUAUCCAACAUGGAAUUGCUUAUUAAUGAAUGGUGCAUUCCCGCUGCUGCUCUUAGGUACACAUGUCUUCUCCUGCUUCCUUUGCAUGUGCACUAAAGCAGAGGCAGAGCUGUGUGCAUGACCAGAAUCCCACAUGUCUCAGUCACUGUUCUGUUUCCCGAGAAGAGAACCAUGGCCAAGACAAUUUAGAAAAGAAAGCAUUUAAUCCCCCAAUGUAAGCUCCCACUUAAGUGGGGAGUCCAUAACCAUCACGGCAGGGAGAGUGGCAGCAGGCAGCUGAGAGCUCACAUCUUAUCUGAAAUAUUGAGAAAGAGGUUAGGAAAGAGGAGUAAGGAGAGAGAGAGAGAAAGAGAGAGAGACAGAGACAGACAGACAGACAGACAGACAGACAGACAGAGGCCUGGAUAAAGUUUUUGAAACCUCAAAGCCAAAGCCAAACCAUGCCUCCUUCAACAAGACUACAGCUCCUAAUCCAUCCCCAAAAGUUCCACCAAGGACCAAACAGUCAAACAUGAGUCUAUGGGGGCCAUUCUCAUUUAAAUUGUCAUGCCACCCUUGUCUCAAAGCAUGGCAAAGGAAAGACCUAGAGAUAUGUUGUAUCUAAUAGAAGAAUAUAGAGUCUCUCUAGCAUGGUAACAAUGUAUACCUAUAAUGGAUGCACCUGGGUAGUGGAGGCAGCAGGAUCAGAGUUCGAGGUUAACCUCAACUGCAUAGUUAGCAGCAGGGCACCCUAGUGUAUCUAGAACUGUGUGAGAAUGGCUCAGGCAAUGAGGUGUCUGCCUUGUAAACAUAAGGAGCUGAGCUUGGUCUCCAGAACCCAUGUGAAAAGCCAGGAGUUGGUGUGCUUGUAAUCGCACUGCUGGGGAGGCAGAAGCUGGUAGGUCCCCCAGUGCAGGUCCCUGCGAGAGACUCAGUCUCAACACACACACACACACACACACACACACACACACACACACACACACACACACACACACAUUUUUAAAAUAAAUUUUAGAAUUUUAUGUGCAUUAGUGUUUUGCCUGCAUGUAUGCCUGUGGAUGAGUGUCAGAACCCCUGGAACUGGAGUUACAGACAGUUGUGAGCUGCCAUGUGGGUGCUGGGAAUUGGACCCCAAGUCCUCUGGAAGAGCAGCCAAUGUUCUUUACCACUGAGCCAUCUUGCCAGCCUGGAAUGAACGAAAGGAAGAAAGAAAGAAAGAAAGAAAGAAAGAAAGAAAGAAAGAAAGAAAGAAAGAAAGAAAGAAGGAAGGAAGGAAGAAAGAAAGACAAAAAAAAAAUUGAGACAGGUGUCUCUGUAUAGCCCUUGUUGUCCUGAUAUUCAUUAUGUAGACCAAGCUGGCCUCCAUCUCAGAGAUUUGCCCACCUCCGCCUCCUUAGUGCUGGGUUUAAAGGCUUGUCCUAUCACAUCCAGCUCAAAAGUAUUUUUAAGAGGAGGCCAGCAGCAGUGAGUUGGGGUGUUUACUACCGCGUCUGACAUCCUGAGGAUCCCUGGAACCCACAUGGUGAAAGGAAAGAACUGAUCCUGUACUCCUGACUUACUGGGAACACACUGGGACAACUACAUGCCUGUGCGUAACAGUUUCUUCCUAGGUUGGACCAUUCCAUCCCGCAGGGAAGCUCCUUAAGGAGGGUAAACAACUCAAAAGAGCUUUAGGAAGUCCCUGAAACUGACCAGAUUCACUACUCCCCCCAACCUUAACCCCUGCCAGAGUAAGUGAUAAAAUCUGAGGGACCCUUUCACUCGAAGUGAAGCUGAGCUAUAAGGAAGACUCAGACAAGCCAAACUGCAAAGAAAGCUGAGACCAGACCAGCUGCCGGGAAGAAACAGAAAAGCUGCUUACAAGAGGUUUAGAUUAACUGCAGUAACUUUGAAGGAAGCACCUCAACCUAUUGAGUUACAUUCAGGUUGUACAGUGAGUGUUCCAGAUAUCCCAGCAUUUGUGAACUGUCACCCAUGCUGGCCCGCGUCUUGGUGAUACAGCUGUCUUUGAGUCAUUUCUGGUCCUGUAAAUAACCUGUCACCCAUACUCCCGUAGGUAACUCCCAAACCUCACUGGUUCACUAAGCUGGGCUUUAGUGGUGUCUGUACUGUGGUCUGCUGUGGAAUUCCCAUCUAGGGGUUUCUCUUUACAUCCCUACUUGUCCUGGGUCUGUAGACCAGGCUGGACUCGAGCUCAAAGAUCCGCCUGCUUCUCCUCCUGAGUGCUGGGAUUAAUGGAGCAUGCUACCACACUCGACUAGUACUGUGCUCUGAAGGAAGUUAGGCAGGGCUAGUGAAAUGACUCAGAGGGUAAGAGCACCUGCCGCCCAAGCCUGAUGACCCAAGCUAGAUCCCAGCAAUCCCCAUAACGUGAAGAGCCAGAUGCAGUAGUGCACAUCUGUAACAUCUCUAAUUCCAGCACGCUUACAACAACAAGCGGAGAGGCAGCGAGAAGCGCCUGGAAACUCAUGACUCAGCUUUGGGUAUGCAGCCCAGCCGUGGAAUCAAGAGAUCCUGCCUCAACAAGGCGGAGGGUAAGAAUCAAUGGACCCCGGACAACAUUCUCUGACCUCUACACAAGCAUCAUCCCACAACGAAAGAAAGAAAAAAAACUUAAGAAGAAACUAGCAGGCUGAGAAAGGCUUAUGAGAAUGCCACAGUCCACUGUCACGAUUCCUUCGCCUCAGUCGCUUUGCAAUUGCAGGUUUGUUUUUUUGUUUGCUUGUUUGCUUGUUUGCUUGUUUGCUUGUUUUUUGUUUCUUAAGACAAUCUCAUGUUUCCCAGGCCGGCUUCUAGCAGCUAAGUACCCAGAGAUGAUCUUGAAAUUCUAAUCCUCCAGCCUCUACCUCCCUAGUGCUGGAAUUGCAGGUAUGCAAUGUUACACCAGUUUCAUGAGAAGCUUUGUGAAUACUAGGCAAGCAUUCUCCUAGUAACUAAACUACCCACCCCCUUCUUCUUGGGGUUGUUUUGAAACUGGGUCUUGCCCUGUAGCUCUGGAUGGCCCGAAACUCACUCUGUAGACCAAACUGGCCACACACUAAAAGAGAUUCACCUGCCUCUGCCUCUCUAGAAAGAAUUGCUGGGAUUAAAGACUUACACCUCAAUGCCUAGCCUUCUAGCCUGAUAGUUUUUAAUGUCUCCCAUGUAGACACAUAUUUACUCCCACUUUUUUUUCUUUUUUCCGGAGCUGGGGACCGAACCCAGGGCCUUGCGCUUGCUAGGCAAGCGCUCUACCACUGAGCUAAAUCCCCAGCCCCUUACUCCCAGUUUUAAGAGGCAAAGAUUUGGCUAAGUUAGCCACUUGCUCUCCUUCCCGUUUUAAGUUACCUACAUUUUAGUGGAAGUCUUGAAACCGUAAGACACUUGACAUCUUGUUUCUCGCUUUCUUCUAGGGAUGGCUCAUGUCUCUUCAUUUGUAAGAUGAAACCUUUACCUUCCCAGCUUCUCUUGUACCCAGCCUCUGUCAGUUUUCACCUUUGCUUCAUGUGCUUUUUCAUUCUGUAACAUUUGGGGUAACAACUGUAUCCUGUUCUGUAACUAUAAACAGACACUCAGUGCUUUGUCUGGAACAACACUGGCUUGGCUAUCGCUAUGUAAAUAUUUCUCAGAAGGAUACAGUAACUGCCCUUGGCCUUUUCCCUCUCUUGUGCUCUAAGAAGCUAAGCCCUUUCUUUAAAUUCUAUCUCUUGUUUAAAGUCAAGGCAGAUUUCCGUUGCGUAUGGACCAUGGUGGGGUUUUGUGACUUUAUUUAGUUCUUAAUAUGUAUCAAUUGUCCUUCCUGUCCCCUUCUGAAAUCUGUGCCUCCUUUUCUUCUUCCCCUACAUGACAUAUACACACACUGUUCUGAUUUCUUCGUACAAGCUCUUUGGCAGUACUGACUCAUAGGCGUCAGAGACAGAUUGCUUCCCAGCACUGCCGUCUCUUGAUGCUGUUCUCUAUUGGUCGUUUGCAUGUUUCUACUUAUUCAUUUGUUAGUACUUCCUUUUUCCCUUCUUCCUUUCCUUCCUGCCUUCCCUGAUUGCUUUCUUACUUUUUUUUUUAAUGUAGCUAGGUUGGCCUAAUGUUCACAAUCCUCCUGCCUCAGCCUUCUUGAAUGCUGAGAUUACAACAAGUUCAUACCAUCCCACCUAGCCAUUUUUCUUGAUUUUUCUUUUUAUGACCAGAACACAUCAAUAUGUUUUCGUAGAGAUUUGUCUUCUAAUUCUGAACACAUUCUUGAUUCUCCUGUCUGGAAAAAAAAUCGAUAGCCAUCCUA